UCCCGCAUGUCUUAGUUGGUAGAGCAUCAGACUUUUACGAACUGAUGAGUAAUGCAACCUGAGGGUUCGAAUCCCUCUGCGGGCG
rnacentral:tRNA from 1 species